rnacentral:lncRNA from 1 species
GAUAUCAUUUAACAAAGGAGUUCUGGGGUUGGAGGUGUAGCUUAGUGGUUCAGCACAUUCUUUGGCCCUGGGUCCGCCUCAACACUGCCCACCUCCCCACAACAGGAAAACCAGAAAACCAAAACAAGUGAGUUUUACUGAAAGUGUGUUAUUGUAUCCUUUAAAGUUUAUAUACAUGUGACUUUAUGAUAAUAUAUACUCUUUUAGGAUAAAGAAGACAAAGGGUACAUGUGCCAUGGUACCACUUCAGGAGAAAUCAAAAGGUAAACUGGCUCAUCUUUUUUCCCACCAAAUGUUUUGUUAGAGUGUCACUUACUUAUCUUUUUUACUUCCUUUUUUAUUAUUAUUUUUAAUUGAUUUGUCUUUGUUUUAUUAAUGCUCUUUUUAACGUUGUUUAUUUAUUUCAUAAACUUAGAGGAUCUUGAGUCCAGUAUGCACAUACAUUUAUAAUCUCAGGACCCUAGGAUAGGCCCUCACUUGGACCAUGUAGUAGCCUGUAAACUGAUCCUGUUUUGAGUUUCUGACCUUUGAAAUCCUUUGACUUAAAGCCCUAACACCUUGAUCUUUAAUCACAUUACUGCCUUCUUCAAAAAACAAUAGCUUCUCAUUACCUAUAGACUUAAGUAUGACUUUCUUAGUCUUUCAUUGAACCCUUUACCAACUUCCCCUAACUUUCCAUUCCAACCUUAUCUUCUAAUUUUAUUUAUUUAUUUUUUUUUGUGAAUCUUGUUUACCAAAGACAUCUCACUACACCAACAGUUUGGGUUACAAAAAACUACUCUUUUUAGUUUUGGGUUUUUUUUGGUUUGGUACUGGGGAUUGAACUGUGGAUCACUUAGCUACAUCCUCAGCCCUUUUUAUUUUGAGACAGGCUUGAACUUCUGAGAAUUUGUAAUUGAAUUUGUAAUCCUCAUGCGUAGUCUCCCAAGUAGCUGGGAUUAUAGGUAUGUACCACUGCAGGAGUCUGGAAUCAAUUUAUUCUGAAGUGCAUAGUGACUAAGAGGGUUUACAGCGUUGUGAUAUAUUUUUGCCAUAUUCAGAGGGACAGCUCAUCCUCUGAAGCUUAAAAAUUAGGCAUUCUGAGGCUGGGGUUGUGGCUCAGCAGUUGAGUAUUCGCCUAGCACUUGUGAGGCCCUGGAUUCGAUCCUCAGCACCGUAUAAAGAUAAAUAAAAUAAAGGUAUUGUGUCCAGCUACAAUUAAAAAAUAAAUAUUAAAAAAAUUAGGCAUUCUCAUCUCCCUGUUUUUGAUUUGUUUGAUCAGAAUUUUAUUUUUCAAAAAUAGACACUGGAAAAUCUGUUCUCUCAGAUUUGUCAUGAUGUGUUCAAGAUUGUAAAGAACUUCCUAGAAGUAUACUUAUGCUUCAUUCCUUCCUUUUAUAUGUGACUGAUUUAUGAGGAAAUUAUACCAAAGGAACCAUACCUGACACAUGACAUAAUGCAUAUGACUAGCAUGUAAGUUCUAGCUAUUCCCUGAGGUAAUUUUGUCCAAAGUUAAUGUUAAAGAUUCAUGAGCCAUACAGUUAAAAGUUUUCCAUUAAAAAAAAUGUGGGGGUCUUUUGUUGAUUAUUGUCUAAGCCAGGGAUUUCAUUUUUAAAUUUUUUUGGGGGGAGGGGUUACUGGAUUUUGAACUAAGGGGCGUUCCACCACUGAGCCACAUCCCCAGCCCUUUUUAUUUAUUUAUUUAUUUAUUUAUUAUUUAUUUAUUUAUUUAUUUUUAAUUUAGAGACAGGGUCUCACUGAAUUGCUUAGUGCCUCACUUUUGCUAAGGCUGGCUUUGAACUUCUGAUCUUCCUACCUCAGCCUCCCAAGCCACUGGGAUUAUAGUCAUGUGCCAUCAUGCCAGGCUUAAGCCAGGGAUUUUAAACAGUGAUAGUAUUAACAUUUUGAACUAGAUAGUUCUUUAUUGUGAGCCAUGUCUUGUGCAUUGUAGAAUGUUUAGAAGCAUCCACAGCCUCUACCCACUGUACGCCCCGGCACCCACAGCUGUGAAAAAUAAAACAACAAAAAAAGUCUCUAGAUAUUGAAAAACAUUAAAAAAAAAAGUGCAGCAAAAUCCCCUUUAGUUGAGAAACACUGGUCUAAGCAUGACACCCACAGCAUUAUAUGUUAUUUACUUUUUGUCUUUCAGGCUAUCAAAUGAUCUAUCCUUUAUCCAAAUGCACUAAAUAUUUCCUUCCCAGACUUUCAAACCCUUUCUAUUUAUUUAUUUUUGUGGUAAUGGGAAUUGAACCCAAGGACAUUUUAACACAGGGAGAGGGUCUCAUUAAAUUGCAGAGGUUGGCUUUGAAUAAAAUAAAGGUAUUGUGUUCAGCUACAACUGAAAAAUAAAUAUUAAAAAAUUCGGCAUUCUCACCUCUCUGUUUUUGAUAUGUUUGAUAUGUUUGUCCUUUCUCAGAUUCCUGAGUAGCUGGCAUUAUAGGCAUGUGCCACCACACCCAGCUUUAUUUUUAACAUAACCAUGGUUGUCAUCUUCUAGUGCAUUCAUCACUUAAAACAACAAUAAAAACUGAAAUUGUAAGGCCUCUGUUGAUGAGGUUUGUAACAGAAUUGACAGUAGCUUUGUGAGUACAUCUAUGGAAGUUCAUAAGGUAACAUGCUCAUAAAAUUUUCCUUGGCUAUUUCCUUACUCUGGAUUUCCAUAAGCCAUAAAAACUUCUGUUAUCAACAGAAGGCAUAAAAGAAAAAUAAGAAUGUUAAUCGGAACAAAAGACGUGUGUUUUGCAUCUUGGCCCAAACAAACAUUUGUUUGCCUAUUUUCCAAAAGACCAACUUUAUGGCUCUUUCAACUUUAUGGCUCUUUGAGAAUAGGUGUGAAUAUACGGGCCUUUUCAAAAUCCAUAUGUUAUAACCUAAUACCUAAUGUGAUGACAGGAGGAGCUGGCAUUUGGAGGAAUGAUUGUCACGGGGAUCUUGCUCUCAUGAGUAGAUUAGUGCGCUUAUUAAAAGAGGUUGAAGGGGGCACCCUAGUGCCCUCCUAGCUCUUCCCCCUUUUGAGAACUCAGCAUUCAUCCACUUUUGGCCUUCCCCACUCUGCCAUGUGAGGACAUAGCAAUAAAGCUCCAUCCUGGAAGCAAAGAGUAGGCCUUCAAGUGACCCAUUCUGCCAGCAUUUGAUCUUGGACUUCCCAACCUCUGGAACAGUGAGAAAUAAACUUCUGUUCUAUCAAUUAUCCAGCCUGCAUUAGUAUGGUGUAGCAGCAGGAACAGAACCACAGGUGCUCUGUCUUACUUAACUUUGUACCCCUGCAGUACCUAUGUAAGGUUCUGCAACAAAUAUACUUGCUGAAAAUUAUUUUCUUCAGAGACAUAUAAGAAGGCAGUUAAUUUUUUUCACCAAACAUGAAUUAAGUAUUGAUCAUAUGUCAGGUAUUGUUCUAGUUACUAAGCCUUGAGGAUACACCCCUGAACAAAACAAAGAUUCCUGCUCUUGUGGAGCAUAUAUUCUAGUAAGAAAAUAUAGCCCACAAACACUUGAUACAAUCAGCAAGUCCAUUAUGUAGCAUAUUAGAAAUUAAGGACAGCCUGGCACAGUGAUGCACACCUGUAAUCCCAGCUACUGAGACAGGAGGAUGGCAAGUUUGGAAACAAAAUUUAAAAAGGGCUGGGGAUAUAGCUCAAAGGCAGAAUGUUCCUGAGUUCAAUCCCCAGUACCACACACACACACACACACACACACACACAAAAAUUAGGCAUGCUAGAAACAAUAAAAAUAGAGCAGAGUAAGGAAAGUUAUGGGAUAUAGUUAAAGGAGGGAUGUAUAUAUUUUCCUCCUCAUAUUUUUUUAUUUUAGAGAGACAUUUAUAAAUUCAUAUUCAAAGAGAAUUGGAAAUGCACUUGGAUUCUUCGUAUUAUUUAAUUUUACCAAUGUUUUAUACUUAGGACUUCAUAAAGAAAAUAGGAUGACUAUACCAAAGUAUGUAAUUAUAGUUUGAGGACAUUUCUCAGAUUAUUAGUAAGUGAAAAUAAUUUUCAGUAACUUGGGAGAAUGACUUCUUCCUGAUUAAAAAUAUUCUAACUGUGCCCCUUCAAAAUAUCAAGUGUUAUCCCCAUGUAGUUCUUAUUUGAUGGAUGAAUGAGAAAUAAGGACUCUUUAUUUGUUGGAAUUUGAUAAAUUUCAUAGGAACAUUAUCCUAAUUAUUGAGGUUUGGCACCUUCCCCUAGUAGUACCUGUAUUAAGAGGAAACAUCAAUGUUGAUGGACUAACUAAUGUUUUGUUGUUGUUGUUGGUUUUGUGUGUGUGUAUGUGUGUGUGUGUAUAAAUUCCUCUUUAUUUAAAAAAUAGUUUUAAUUUUCUUUUUUUAUUUAUUCUCUUUAGUUAUAUAUGACAACAGAAUCCAUUCUGAUAUACUCACACAAGCAUCUUAUUCUAGUUUCCAUUCUUAUGGAUGUACACAGUGGUGGGAUUCACUGUGUUGUUUUCAUAUAUGUACAUGGGGAAACGAUGUCAGUUUCAUUCCGUUGUCUUUCCUGUUCCUAUCUCCCUCUCGUCCUUCCAUUCCCCAUUGUCUAAUCUGCUGCACUUCUUUUCUUCCCCUCCCUCUCCCCCCAUUGUGGAUUAGCUUCCACUUAUCAGAGAAAACAUUCAAGUUUGGUUUUUUGAGACUGGCUUACUUCACUUAGCAUGAUAGUCUCCAGAUCCAUCCACUUGCUGGCAAAUGUCAUCAAGUUUUUCUUCUUUAUGGCUGAGUGUUUUAGUCAACUUUUUUGCUGCUGUGACUAAAAGAUCCAACCAGAACAACUUUAGAGGAGGAAAAGUUGACUUGAGGGCUCAUGGUUUCAGGGGUCUCAGUCCAUAGAAGGCUGCUCCAUUCCUUGGGGCUUAAGAUGAAGCAGAACAACAUGGCAGAAUAAUGUGGCAGAGUGAGGCAGCUCACAUUAUGAUAAGAAAGCAGAGAGAGAUUCUGCUGGCCAGAUACAAAAUAUAUUCCCCCAAAGCCACACUAGUAAUGCCCACCUCCUCCAGCCACACCCUACCAGCCUGCAGUUGCCACUCAGUGAAUCCCUAUCAGGAAAUUAACUCACUGAUUGGGUUAAGGUUCUUACAACCCAAUUAUUUCUCAUCUGAACCUUUUUGCAUUGUGUCAUACAUGAGCUUUUGGGGGACACCUCACAUCCAAACCAUAACACUGAGUAAUGUUUCAUAUAAAUAUAUCCAAUCAUCUAUUGAAGGGCACCUAGGUUGAUUCCAUAGUUUAGCUAUUGUGAAUUGAACUGCUAUAAAAUCGAUGUAGCUGUGCACUAUAGUAUGCUGAUUUUAAGUCCUUUGGAUAUAUACCAAGGAGUGGGAUAACUUAGUCAAAUGGUGGUUCCAUUCCAAGUUUUUUUUUAAUAUUAUUUUGGGUUUUUUUUUUUUAUAUUUUUGUGGUUCUGAGAAUCGAACCCUGUACCUCACACCUGCUAGGAAAGCACUCUGCCACUGAGCCACAACCUCAGCCCACCAUUCUAAGUUUUUUGAGGAAUCUCCAUGCUACUUUCCACAGAUUUGCAGUCCCACCACGUGUGUUCUUUUUUUUUUUAAAUGGGAAGAACUAAUGCAACCACAAUAAUAUUUUCACAGUAGAAAUAAUCACAGAUAAUUCCUUAAUCCCAUAUGCCCAGUCAAUACACAGAUUUUUCUAAUUGUUUCAAAUUAAUUUUAUAGUUUUAAAUAUAAAUAAAUCUGGUUCAUACUAGGAGCAUCCAUUGCAACCACAUGUGUUCUUGAUCAUUGUCUUUCUGAUUGGAGUGAGAUGGAAUCUCAGUGUAGUUUUAAUUUACAUUUCUCUAAUUGCUAGAGAUGUCGAAUUUUUUUAUUUAUUUGUUGACCAACAUAUUUCUUCUUCUAUGAAGUGUCUGUUCAUUUCCUUAGCCCAUUUAUUGAUUGGGUUAUUUAGUUUUCUUUUGUUGUUAAGUUUUUUGAGUUCUUUAAAUAUCCUGAAAAUUAAUGCUGUAUCUCAGGUGCAGGUGGCAAAGAUUUUCUCCCAUUUUGUAGGCUCUCUUCACUUUCUUGAUUGUUUCCUUUGCUGUGAAGAAGCUUUUUAGUUUGAUGCCAUCCCACUUAUUGAUUACUGAUUUUACUUCUUGCACUUUAGGGGUUUUAUUAAGGAAGUCAGUUCCUGUGCCAAUGUGUUGGAGUGUUGGGCCUACCUUUCUUUUAAUAUGUGCAGGGUCUCUGGUCAAUAUCUAGGUCCUUGAUUUACUUAGAGCUGUGUUUUGUGCAGGUAAGAGACAGUGGUUAAAUUUCAUUUUGCUGCAUAUGGAUUUCCAGUUUUCCCAGCACUAUUUGUUGAGAGAGGCUAUCUUUUCUCCAAUGUAUGUUAUUAGCACCUUUGUGCCAAACCAUAACAUGAAAAUCUUUGUAACAUCUCAAAGUAUCUGUGGAUGAGCCAAAUUUGUUUCAGCACCUUCUACUCUCUUCUAUUGGUUUUCUUGCCUGUUUUGGUGCCAAUACCAUGCUGAUUUUGUUACUAUAACUCUAUAGUAUAAUUUUAAGUCUGGUAUUGUGAUGCCUCUUGCUUCAUUUUUUUUACUAGGGAGUGCUUCGGUUAUUAUGGGCCUCUUGUAUUUUCAGAUGAAUUUUAUGAGUGCUUUUUCUACUUCCAUGAAGAACAUUAUUAGAAUUUUGAUGGGAAUUGCAUUGAAUCUGUAUAGUGCUUUUGGUAAUAUGUCCAUUUUGACAAUAUUAAUUCUACCUAGCUAAGAACUUGGGGGCGGGUCUUUCCAUCUUCUGAUGUCUUCCUCAAUUUCUUUAUUUAGUGUUCUGUAAUUUUUAUUACAGAGAUCUUUCACCUGUUUUGUGAAAUUGAUUGCCAGGUUUUUUUAUUUUUAUUUUUUGAGGCUAUUGCAAAUGAGAUAGUUUUCCUAAUUUCUCUUCAGCUGAUUUGUCAUUGGAGUAUAGGAAUGCAACUGAUUCAUGAGUGUUAAUUUUGUAUCCCGCUAUUUUGCUGAAUUCCAUUUAUGAGUUCUAGAGGUUUUCUGGUAAAGUUUUUUGGAUCUUCUAAAUACAGGAUCAUGUCAUUGGCAAACAGAGCUAGUUUUAGCUCUUCUUUUCCUAUUGAUAUCCUUUUAUUUCAUUCUUUUGCCUAAUUACUUUGGCUAGAGAUUUGGGGAAUAGGUUAAAUAGAAGUGGUAAAAGUAGGCAUCCUUGUCUUAUUCCUGGUUUUAGAGGGAAUGCUUUCAGUUUUUCUCUAUUUAGAAUGACAUUGGCCUUGAGUUUGUCAUAUAUUGUUUUUACAAUGUUGAGUGUUCAGGUAUGAUCCUUUUAUUCCUGUUUUUUUUUGAGUGUUUUAAUCAUAAAUGGAUGCUACAUUUUGUUAAUGCUUUUUCUGCAUCUAUUGACAUAAUAAUGUGAUUCUUUUCUUUAAGACUAUUGAAGUGCUGAAUUACAUUUAUUGAUUUUUUUUUUUUUUGAGGUGCUGGGGAUCGAACCCUGGGCUUCAGGAAUGCCAGGCAGGCAAAUCCUUUUCCAUUGAGCCACAUUCCCAACCUAACUUACAACUUUAAAUAGGGUCAUGAGGGUAGGUAUAAUUGAGAAGAUAAUGUUUGAGAAAAAAACUUGAAAGAGGUAAGGGAGUUAAGUUAUUCUGGUAGGUCCAGAAAAUGCCCCAAGACAGGAUGGUGCCUGGCCUGUUGGAAGAACAUUAGGAGUCUAGCUUAGCUAAGGAGUAGAAGAUGAGAUAGGAGAAACAACAGGAUCUCUAGUCAUGGAGGACCUUAGAAAGGACCUUGUAUGUGACUCUGAUUGAAAUGAGGAGCCACUGAAUGAUUUUAUUAAAAGAAUGAUUUCAAUGUGGUCUAAGUUUUAAAAAGAUCACUAUGGCAACUACCAUCUGUUUCAAUAGCUAUUCUUUUUAAAAAAUGACCUUGAAAAUUCCUACUUUUAACUCUGAUGGAAUGAAUAGCUUGUAUCAGAACAACUUUACCAGCAGACAACUUGAGAGGCCAAGAUCCUGAAGGAAUACCCAAAGUUAAGUGAGCCAAAAUUCCUCAAGCAUAUUUCCUUCUACCUAGAAGAAAAUCAAUUUAUCUCAAGAGUAAUAUAAAAUGAACCAUAUCCUUGAAGGCAACCGAACACAGUGUCUAAUAUUUAAUUAAUAUUUACCAGACAGGCUUCUUUUGGGAGACCACAUAGCCCUAAGGUUACUUGAGAAUUUGACCCAAAGAUGGAUAUCAGACCAAAUCACACAAUUUAUAUCAACCAUAUGAAUAACAAAAAUCUUUUUAAUAAAAAGAAUUGAAGAGCUUCCUAUAUGCCCCUUUUUCUCAGUUUGGGCAUAUGGUAGAUGUUGUGGCUUUAAAGGCCAUAAGAUGACAGAACUUUUUUUUCCCCCAUAUAACAAAUAUGCAUUGUUAUAUUUAAGCAACUGGGCUCAUCUGCAAAUACUUCUAGACAGUUACAAAGAUUUUCAUUUUAUGGUAUACCAAUGUAAACCAGCAUGUGAAAACAGAUUCUGAUAUAUGUCUAAAAUGCAUGACACUUUUGCUGGCAAAGAAAAGAAAUAAGCCAAAACUGUGGAACAGACUGCAACAAUUACAAACAAAAAGGCUGAUCAGGGAACACCAAAUCCAGCAAAUCCCCAAAGAAAUUCCAUACCAAGUCCUCACAUCCCUGAUUACCCUCCAAACUAUCGACUAAUGAGAAGAUGUUAUUCAUGCCGUUGAAUCAGGUCCCUUGUUUUAGGGAAGUAUGAUUGAUACUUGGGAGGCAUGGCAUUACUUUUGUCAAAUUUGGAAAGGAUGCUUUUAUAAGGUGUUGCGAUCACACCAUUCCAUGCCAUGAAGAUAACCUACGCCAAGAAAUAACAUUUGGGAUAGUCAUGUUAAGUGGACAUGGUGUUAUUUAUAGUAUGUGUUUUGAAAACAUUUGGUCAAGUCGUUUUAAAAUGGUUGGAGGCGGGGGGAGAAGUUAAGUGAAAUGUUUAUGAAGGACAUAAAAAUCAUAGAGUCUUUCUCUAGCUUUAGUGAACUAUGAAAUAUGAAGGCCUUAAUUUUGUACACUAAAGUUUUCUUUUAUUUAUUAAAAAAAAAAGUUACCAGAGAGAAGAGGGACAACAACCAAGAGAAGGAACAGACAACAGAGGCAGACCUACAAAUGAUCCAAACGUCUUAGUCUGUUUGGGUUGUUAUCACAAACUAGUAUAAACUGGGGAUCUUAUAAAAAACAGAAAUUUAUUUAUUUAGUGUUUCUGUAUAUUUAGCUCUAAAAAGUAAAUGUAAUCUAUACCUGAAUGACCAAUUGCCCAACUAAAAUUCUAUUAUGAAAGAAGGAGUAGAAAGGGGAAUUUAGUUUGCUACUCUCUUUUUUUUUAGCAUUGGGAAUUUUACCCAGGGUGCUUAUCCAAUGAACCACACACUCAGCCCUUUUUGAGAUAGGGUCUCACUAAGUGACUUAAGGCUUUACUAAAUUUCUCAGCCUGGCCUUGAACUUGUUAUCCUCUUUCUUCAGCCUCCCAAAUUGCUGGGAUUAUAGGUGUAUACCACCACAUCUAGCCACAAUUCUUUUUGAACUAAAAUUUCUAACUUUCUAUUUCAACUAUUUAGAAAUAUAGUUAUUUUUUGGUAGUUUGAUCUUUUCGCCAUUCACCAGGCUGAAAUUCUUUUUUUUUUUUUUUGGUCAUUAAUAUAUAGAUUAUUUUGGAUUACCUAUGCAGAUUAUCAUGGUCAUUUCUCAAUAAUGUCAGUUUUGUUUCCUUCCUUUCUGAAUCCUAAGCCUUAGUUUUCUUAUCUUACUAACCUGGCAAGAACCACCAAUAUAAUGCAAAAUAGAAAGGAAUAGUAGGCAUCUUUGAUUCAUUUCUGAUUUUCAAAGGGACUUCCCUUAAUAUCUCCUCUAUAAGAAUAAUGUUAGUUACAGGGUUUUAAAUUUUUUUUUUCCUUUUGAAUACCCAAGAUUGAAUUCAGAGGCAUUCAACCACUGAGCCACAUCCCCAUCCCUAUUUUGUAUUUUAUUUAGAGACAGGGUCUCACUGCAUUGCUUCACCUUGCUUUUGCUGAGUCUGGCUUUGAACUUGAGAUUCUCCUGUCUCAGCCACUGGGAUUACAGGUGUGCUCCACUGAGCCUGGCUUAGUUACAGGUUUGAGUAGUUAUCCUUUAGUAAGUUAAAGAAGUCCCCUUUAAUUUUCUAAGAUUUUUUUUCCAUAAAUGAGAGUUAAAAUUUUAUCAAAUAUUUUUCCUGGAUAGAUUGAAGUGAUGAUAUGAUUUUUUUUACUUGAAGAAUACCAUGUAUAGAUUAUAUGAUGCUAAGUGGCUCUUGCCUUCUGAGGGUCAUCCAGUUUAGGCAUGAUUGCUAUCUUUUUAUGUACUUCCAUAUUAAAUUACCUAAUAAUUCAUUUGGAAUUUUAAUAAAAUCCCUGUUUUAAAAAUUUAUUUAUUGGGCUGGGAUUGUGGCUCAGCGGUAGAGUGCUCACCUAGCAUCGGCGAGACCCGGGUUCCAUCCUCAGCACCACAUAAAAAUAAAGGCAUUGUGUUGUGUCCAAAUACACCUAAAAAAAAAAAAAAGAAAGAAAAAGAUUUGUUAAAAAAAUAGAAUUAUUUAUUUUAAUUAGGUAUAUAUGACAGCAGAAUGCCUUUUGAUUCAUUGUAAAACAACUGCAGCACAAUUUUACAUUUCUUGGUUAUACACAAUGCAAUGUCGCACCAUAUGUGUAGUCAUACAUGUACCUAGGGUAAUGAUGUCCAUCUCAUUCCACCAUCUUUCCUACCCCCAUUUCCCCUCCCCACUCCACCCUUCCCUUUGCCCCAUCAAAGUUCCUCCAUUUUCCCAAUGUUCACCCGCAUUAUGGGUCAGCAUCUACUUAUAAGAGAGAACAUUCGGCCUUUGGUUUGGGGGGAUUGGCUUACUUUACUUAGAAUGAUAUUCUCCAACUCCCUCCAUUUACCUGCAAAUGACAUAAUGGAACCACCAUUUGACCCAGCUAUCCCACUCCUCUGUCUAUACCCAAAGGACUUAAAAUCAGCAUACUAUAGUAAUGCAGCCACAUCAAUGUUUAUAGCAGCUCAACUCACAAUUCAUAAGCUAUGAAAGCAACCUAGACGCCCUUCAAUAGAUGAAUGGAUAAAGAAACUGUGGUUUAUAAACACAAUGGAAUAUUACUCAACAUUAAAAAGGAAUUAAAAAACCCUUUUUAAGAAUGAGACUGCCACUCAUUUUCCUUUUGGUCCUGUCCUUAUAUGAAUUCAAUGUCAAGAUGAUAAUGGCUUCAUGGAAUGAACUGGAGAGUAUUCUCUCUCUUUCUGUUCUCUGAAGGAUUUGACCUAAACUCGAAAUGAUCUCUAUGUUGAAACUCUGAUAGAUUUAUUUGUAAAAUUAUUUGGGUUACUUGUUUUCUUUGUGGGAAUCAUUUAAUAUUUAUUCAGUAAUUUUAAUUUUAGGACUCAAUGCAUUCUAUUCUUUCAAUCAGUUUUGGUAAGUUAUAUUUUCAAGAAACUUCUGCCUCUAUCUCAGUUUUUAAAUUUAUUGACCCAAAAGUUAGUCUUUGCUCUAGCUGUAUUUCUGUCCCUCUUUUCCUAAUAUUAGGUAUUUGCACCUUCUUUCCUUUUUCCCCUUAAUUACUUUUGCCAGAAGCAUUUUUUUUUCCAUUCGACUUUUCAAUGAAAACUUUUGUCACUUUAAAUUCUAACUUUGGUUUCUAUUUCACUGAUUUUCCCUCUUUCCUAUAUUAUAUUUGUUUCUUCUAUGCUGUUUGGGUUUGAUCUUUCCUAUAUUAUAUUUUUUUAUUCUAUGCUCUUUGGGUUUAUUUUAUUCUUUUUCUAACGUGUAUCUUAGGCUUAUAAAUUUCAACCUUCAAUUCAUAUAUGUAUGUGUGUGUGUGUGUGUGUGUGUGUGUAUAUAUAUAUAUAUAUAUAUAUAUAUAUAUAUAUAUGAGAGAGAGAGAGAGAGAGAGAGUUUUUUUGUUUGUUUGUUUUUUUCUGCGUGUGUGUGUGUGUUACCAGGGAUUGAACCCAGGGGCACUCAUCACUGAGCUACAUCUCAGCCCUUUUUAUAUUUUAUUUUAUUUUUAUAAGAACAUGAACUUUUAAAAUUUUGUUCUAAUUAGUUAUGAAUAAUAGUGGAAUAUAUUUUGAUAUAUUCUACAUAUAUGGAGUAUAACUUCUCAUUUUUUUGAUUAUACAUAAUAUAGGAUUACAUUGGUUGUGUAAUCAUAUACGCACAUAGAAUAGUAAUGUCUGAUUCUUUCUAUUAUCUUUACUAUUUCCAUUCCCCCUCCCCUCCCUUCAUUCCCCUUGGUCUAAUCCAAAGUACUUCUAUUCUUCUCUAAACCUGCUCCCAUUGUGAAUUAGCAUCUAUAUAUCAAAGAAAAUAUUUGGCCUUUGAUUUGAUUGGUUUAUUUCACUUAACAUAAUAUCCUCCAGCUCCAUCCCUUUACAGGCAAAUGCCAUCAUUUUAUUCUUCUUUAUGGCUGAGUAAUAUUCUAUUGUGUAUAUGAACCACAUUUUCUUUAUCCAUUCAUUUGUUGAAGGGCAUCUAGGUUGGUUCCAUAGUUUAGCUAUUGUAAAUUGAGCUGCUGUAAACACUGUUGUGGCUAUGUCACUGUAGUAUAUUGAUUUUAAGUCCUUUGGGUAUAAACUGAGGAGUAGGAUAGCUGGGUCAAAUGGUGGUUCCAUUCCAAGUUUUCUGAGGUAUCUCCAUACUGCUUUCUAUAGUGGUUACACCAAUUUGUAGUGCCACCAGCAAUGUGUGAGUGUGCCUUUUCCUCCAUGUCCUCGCCAACAUUUAUUGUUACUUGUAUUCUUGAUAAUUGCCAUCUGUCUGGAGUGAGAUGAAAUCUCAGUGUGGUUUUAAUUAGCAUUUUUCUAGUUGCUAGAGAUGUUGAACAUUUUUUUCAUAUAUUUGCUGAUCAAUAGUAUUUCUUCUUCUGUAAAGUGUCUGUUCAGUUUCUUAGCCCAUGUAUUGAUUGGGUUAUUUGUUUUUUAGGGGGGGUGUUAACUUUUUUGAGUUCUUAUAUUUUAUUUUGAGAGGGUGUCUCACUAAGUUGCUGAGACUUUGGUGAAAUUGCCAAGGCUGGCCAGGAAUUUGCAAUCCUCCUUCCUCAGCCUCCAGAGUUGCUGGGAUUACAGGUGUGUCCCAUCCCACCCAACCCUGAUUGUAUUCUUAAGGUUUAUCUCUCUCUCACUCUCAGCUUCCCAUUUGUUUGUUUGAAGCAAAACAAACAAACAAUAACAAUUGCAUUGGAGAACUGAAAAUCUCUUUUUACACUUGAAACUAUUCAAGGUGAAGUUACAUAAUGGUAUUUUAAAGAAACAUGGCACAUCGAUAAUCCCAGUGACUCAGGAGGCUCAAGCAGGAGAAUUACAAUAGAGACCCUAAGCAACUCAGCAAGACCCUGUCUCAAAAAUAAAGCUGGGCACAGUGGUGCAUGCCUGUACUCUUAUUAAUUGGGAGGCUGAGUCAGGUUCUCAAAUAAAAGAUAAAAGAGACUGGGACUAUAAUUCAGUAAUGAAGUGCCCCUAUGUUCAAUCUUGAUACAAAAGAAAAGAAGUGGAAAGAAAGAAGAAAAAGUAAAUAAAAAGUAAAAAGGGUUGGGGAUGUAGCUUUGUGAUAAAGUGCCUCUGGGUUUAAUUCCCAGUACCUAAAUGAAUAUGGGUCAGUAUAUUAUUUUCAAAGACCAAUCUGUUUCUCAAUAGAAGUAUUUCUACAUAUUUACGUAUUUAAGGCAAUAUAUAGUGACUACGUGGGAACUUUGAGUUUAAUGGCUCUGUGAUGAAACCCUGCUGAUGGAGUCCCUAGUUAUGUGCCCUUGGACAAGUUGGGUAGCCUCCCUAAAUCACUUCUUAAAGAUCUGGAAUCUGGGAUAAUACUACUUACUACUACUUUAUUGUGUUGUUGUAUUGAUAAAAUAGUUGUAAACUUGACAUAGAUAAUUCAAUAAGUGCCAUUAUUAUUACUACUACUCCAUAAUAGAUGCUUGAUUAGUAUUUUUUUCACCUACAUGAAUGAUUUAUUUAACUAUAUAACUUUGCUAUAUUACUUUAUUUAGCAUUUAUGAGAAACUAUUUUAUUUGGAGAAAAUAACUUGAUGAAUGUGUAAGAUAUGAAACAGGUAUUUCUUUAUAGAGAUUGUGCUUUUACUUUGGAAUAAAUUCCACAGCCAUCCUGUGUUUUAAGAAGCAUGAUACAAUCCAGGCUUGGGAGUGCACACCUGUAAUCCCAGCAGCUUGUGAGGUUGAGGCAGGAGGAUCACAAGUUCAAAGCCAACCUCAGUAAAAGCAAGGCGCUAAGCUACUCAGUGAGACCCUGUCACUAAAUAAAAUACAAAAUAGAGCUGGAAUAUGGUUCAGUGGUCGAGUGCUCCUGAGUUCAAGCCCUGGUAACUGCGCCCUCCCAAAAGAAGCAGACUUAGAAAUAGUUUUAGAUAAUUAAAUAGAAAUAUAUAUAAUAUUAUUAUUAUUUUGCAAAAAUAUAGGGAUUGAACCCAGAGGCAUGCUACUGCUGAGCUGCAUCCCAAGCCCCUUUUAUUUUUUUCUUUUGAGACAAGGUCUUCAAUAAGUUGCUGAAGCUGGCCUCAAAUUUGCAACCCUCCUUCCUUAGCCUCCCAAGUCUCUGGGAUUACAGGCAUGUGCCACCAUGCCCAGGCAAAAGCAUUAUUUUUUAAUUAAAUAUUUUUUUAUGUGACUUACCAUCAUAGUCACAGAUAUUGUGGGAAGUAAGGCAUUGGCAUUUCUAACUCAAAGUAUAUAUUAUAUGAAGAUCUAAUAGUGUUUUAUGGUCACUGUGAAAUCACUAUUUACUCGCAAUUUUUUGUAAACUGAUUAUGCGUGCAAACUUAAUUUAACUUGAAAAGCUGAUUUUCUCCCCCACAGAUUCUAAUUUCAGUGACCCCGUUACUGGAGCACCAGUUCAGUACUUACAAAGACUUUCCAAAAUGGCUCUUUUGGAGUUUAAUACCAUUCGUCAGGAAACAAGUAAAAAAUCAAAAAAAGGCAAGAAGCGAGAGUUACGAGACUACUGAUAAAUACCAUACGGUGUGAUGCUUUCUUCACUGCUUUUUAAGGUUUAUAGUUGCUUUUUUUUUUUUUUGAUAUGUGAUAUGAUGUGCAAUGAUUUACAUAAAAAUGGAAAUGUAAAUAUGAAAUAAAUAUUUUAUGUUAUACGUGGAAUGGUUUGUAUUUUGUUAACAUCACAAAGAGUCAUUUAAAUUAAGGGAAUAUAAGCAUUAGAGAAAUUAUAUUCCCUGAAUUUUAUGCACAUUGAUUUUUUUCCUUUAGACUUAAUUGACUCAACAUUAUUUGAGUACCUGUCUGUGCAAUGAACUUUGCUGCAGAAAGUCUUCCUGGAAGACAAAAGAAGACGGAAAGAGGAGGAGAGUCGGUGUCCUUGCAUGUUUUAUAUUAAUUUACACAAAUACACUAUUAAUAUGUAUGUGUUUGUCUGCAUUAUUACAAUGGAUUAGUUCCUAGGAGGAUAACUAAUUUAAAUGGUUUUGUUUAUAUUUUGAUUGGGAUCAUAUGAAUUUUGAUCAUAUGAGAACAUGUGAAUUUUCAAAAUCAUAUAAAUUUUGAUUGAGAAUGAUUCAAAUACUACCUGUAUUAAAAGGUAUUCUCAAUAAAAAUUUGGUGACCUUUCUUGAACGAGCACUUCUUUGACUGUCAGGUGGAU